AACGCUAUCGGUAUGCUUAACACAUGCAAGUCGAACGGACUAAUUGGGGCUUGCUCCAAUCAGUUAGUGGCAGACGGGUGAGUAACACGUGGGAAUCUACCCAUCAGUACGGAAUAACUUUUAGAAAUAAAAGCUAAUACCGUAUAUUCUCUACGGAAAAAAGAUUUAUCGCUGAUGGAUGAGCCCGCGCCAGAUUAGGUAGUUGGUGAGGUAACGGCUCACCAAGCCGACGAUCUGUAGCUGGUCUGAGAGGAUGAUCAGCCACACUGGGACUGAGACACGGCCCAGACUCCUACGGGAGGCAGCAGUGGGGAAUAUUGGACAAUGGGCGAAAGCCUGAUCCAGCAAUACCGAGUGAGA
rnacentral:rRNA from 1 species